GGGGGUGCGGGGGUGCGGAGGAGCGGGGAUGGGCGAAGCUCUCCGGUUUCCCGCGGGCGCUGCCAGCCGCGUCUGAGACGUGCCAGGUAGAGUGUCGGUGGAGUUGUCAGGUGACCUUCUGACCUUCCUGGAACGAAGGGUUACGACACGACAUGGGCUGGAAAGACAAACAGGUGGCCCGAGCAAGCAGGAAAGGAAAACCUUUGGGAUGAGUGAUUCGUGCAGUGGCUUCUGCGGUUCAGGAAGGAGACAGAUGCAGGGAGUUCCUGGACGGUGCAGUGAGCCGCGCUCCGGCGGCGGAGUGGGGGGGAUCCCUCGGUGGAAAGCUCACUGGACGCAGACCCACCAACCGGAGAGACAGACCCCAGGGUUCUGUCCCAAGCACAGCCAGCCUGGAGGAGCCAGGGUGCACACAGACGACCAAGUUGUCUUCAGAGAGAGAGGCCCGGUUGAGAAGAAGACAUUAGCAGGUCACAGCUUAGAUACCUCAUUUUCUUCGGCAUGAUCUCAUGGAGUCAUCUUCUCAGAGCAUUGCAGUCAAUUGCGCUUGUCUACACCUGAUUAUGUUGCCCCACAAGAUGAACAGUAUGCCCCAACACACUCUCCCUACCACAGGCUCCAUAUCAGCAGAGCAGAAUGACACUACCAAUGGCGACCUUUGCAACUAGCCGUCUGGGGCACACUCCCCCAACUCAGCACAGCCCCUGCUUCCAAUCCCUGCAAGCUCCUGUCUGGGAACAAGAACCACAAGAUUACUGGAAAGCAGGGGACAACGGGCAGGAAGAAGGGGAGUGAACUGCUCUAGGAAGCUGGAGGGAGCAAGAAGGAGAAAAGAGAAGGUCACCCUCAUGCCAAGUGUUCCUCCUUGUCCACCUGCUCUGUGAAAAGAGGGGAUCUGGAAUAGUGGGGGUGCUAGAAAAGGAGGGGGAGGGGCUUCUGUUCCCCUCCUUCCACCCCAUCUUCCAGCAAGGUACGGCCUGGCAGGCUGGGGCCCACAGAGGGAGAAUGGGAUGCUGGAGGGAACGAAGGAGGCCAAGAAGAUGUCAUCGAAUGUGGCUAUGUCCUUACACUGGGCCGAGGACAAAGGAACAAACUCUCAGCUACCUCUCCAGCAUCAUGUCUGCCUACAUGCCACCAUACUUCCCACCAUGAUGAUAAUGAACUAAACCUCUGAAACUGUGAGCUGGCCCCAAUUAAAUGCCUUCCUUUAUAAGAGUUGCCAUGGUCCAGAUCUCUGUGAGUUUGAGGCCAACCUGGGCUACAGAGUGAGUUCCAGGAAAGGCACAAAGCUACACAGAGAAACCCUGUCUCGAAAAAAAACAACAACAAAAGAGUUGCCAUGGUCAUGAUGUCUCUUCACAGCAAUAGAAACCCUAAGUAAGACAAGGAAAUGGUGCUGAACUCCAGACCAGGCUACUCUGAAGAAGGAGGGAUGCUGGGACCAGCCAGAGAUGAUAAGGACCAAGAGUGCAGAAAGUCAGAAGGAGAGAGGUUCCAUGGAUUGUAAAGGCCAGGGAAGUGGGAGCUGCCUCACAAGAGGUAGAAGAUUGUGAUGAACAUAGCAAAAGAAAAAGAAUGCCUUUUAGACAUGUAAAAAACAGCCUAGUCAGGAUCCCCACUCCACCCAAGGCUGCACCUGAUAACCAGAGUCCAGUGGCAUCACUUCCUCAAGAUGACAGACACACAACUAGAACCCCACAACGCCCUCUGGACAGUAUGUAAGCAGAGACCAAGACCGUUGCCCUGCUCGGCACAUCUGGAGAGACACCACCUUGACCUGCCCUGCAUCUUGAGAUUCUCCCCCCCAGAUCUUGACCUUUGAGCUGGAGACAACUGUGAGAAGCAGCCGACCUUCAGCUGAGGUAUGCUGCAAAGGAUCCUGUAGAAUCAUAAGGGAAGAGAGAGCUCAGACGCUUCAGGGAAGAACAUGGGAGUCCUGGGAGAACUUGACUGCUUCCGAGGUAUCUGGCAGUGUGACUCUCUGAGUUUUUCCUCUCGGAUGGGCUAUGACCACACCAGUGAAAGAAGUGUGCCAAGGUCUUUUCACACCCUCUCUGGAACGAGGCUGCAGUGACUGAAGGGAAAAUGGAGCACCUGCAUAGUUCAUGCUUAAAAAUUCUUUAAAGAAAUCCUUGUUCUUUUGGUAUUUGUGAUUCUAUAAAUAAUAGGGAAGAAACAUCUCCAUUUGUUAUUGUUGUUUUUAUCUCAAAUUUUAAAAAAUACAGAGGUGAUGUCACAUGAGCCACUAAUCUCUGUUCCAAGGAGACAAUAAUAAAGAUUAUAAUCCUUCUGUCUCAGCUGGAGGUGGGAAAACUACUGUGUUCACCCCAUUUCUAAUGAGCUGCACCUCCCCUGGGGCACAAACCUGGCAAUGUCGUCCACUGUAGGCAGAGGGUGGAAAUCCAUGUGACAAUGUGUGAAUAUUUGGUAUUUAACUUGAUAAACAAUAAAAAGAGAAGAGCCCCUUAACAGUUAUUCUCUCUUUAUGUCUUUCAGAAUCUGUCUUAUUAUACUGGGAAUCAACCUAGAGUCUAGCCCAAAAUCUUUCAGAGUUCCCACCAACGCUUCGAAGAGGUUGGCACAUCUGUCGUCCCGGAAGAGGACCCCAAACUUCACGCUUAACUUCCCAUCAGCAUCUAAUUGCGGAAACACAGCGAACCCUUUAAAAGGUGGGGGCUGGCCUCCCACAACGGAGAUGCCAAGAUAAACGACAUGCUCCUUGCUCUUUGGGAGUCUGGGGUCUAGAGGUGAUACAGACCCAUCCCAAGGCCACAUGAAUACCUUCAGGUCGGUGCAGUCAUAACUUCCGGUUCACAUACAGGAACAUCACACCUUUCUUUGGAUUCUGCCCAUGAAAAUUGCCUGCUUUGCACCACGUGUACUGAAGACCAUUCAUUUCCCAUCACGAAGAGUCCAUGUUAAUGAGAGCCGAGCCUGUUAAGUCAUGCUAAGUCCUGCUGUGGCUUGCUAAGUCUUCCACAGGCUGGAUUCUGGCCUCUGUUCCAGCCUCCUCCACUGUCCACUUGAGCACUAAGCUGCAGCUCCGGGAGUCUUUCUAUUCCUCAAAUACCCCUGGCAAGGCUGCCAGCCUCCUCUGUCUUCUUACUUCUGCUCAGGCUAUUCCCUUUCCUAGGCUCAUCAAUCAGUCCCAGCUUGAACGGAACAUCCACCAGAAAGCAUUCCCUCAUCUGAGGAGGGCGCCCCUACUGGGUGUUCUGCAGCACUGCAUGCCUCUUUUCUUUCCGUUGGAAAGACUGGUUUCUGAGCUUUCCUCGCUAGAAGGUAAAUUCCUCUCCACAGGGAUCUGACUUAAAUAUUCCUUGUUACCAUGCCUGGGACCAAGAGGAGAGGUUAAACAAACCCCGUUUCAUGAACUAACAAGAACAAGCAAAGGAUGCUGGGAUAGAACUCCACGUGCGGAGACCAGCAAGUAUGAGCGACUGGGCAGGAGCGGUGUCGAUUCAAUCUGCUUUCACAAGAGAAGUUCUCCAGGCUGAGUAACGAGCUAAAAGGUGGAGCUGUGUUACUGUUUUCAUUAAGGUGAAGGCUUCAAAGAAACAACUUCAUCCAGAUGGAUUAUUACUAAUCCCUGGGAGCUUCUAAAAUAAGAGUGUCAUCUACAACUGGAUACCACCUGCUUAAAUGACACUGAUUGGGGACACCAGAUUUUCUUCCAGCUAAUAAUCAAAUGUGCCACUACCAUCUGCUGUUAUUUGCAUGAACACUGGAAUUGAAGGGGCUGAUCGCAGUAAAACGCAAACUCUUCAAUUAAAUGCAACUCUCUAAGACUUACUAUUAAUAAUAAUACUGUCCAUGCCUGGUGUGGUGGCACACGCCUUUAAUCCCAGCACUGGGAGGCAGAGGCAGGUGGAUCUUUGUGAGGUCAAGGCCAGCCUGGGCUACAAAGUGAGUUUCAGGAAAGACAGGGCUACAACAGAAAGACCCUGUCUCAAAAAAAAAACCCAAAAAUAAAAAAAUAAAUGUAUAAUGUCCAA